AUAAAACAUUAUACAUCACGUAUAACAAUCCAUAACACGCGUGGCCAAAUUAUUUUGUCACAGGGUGCGUCAGAGUACAAUUAUUUUUCCUUGGGUGUGACGGUAGCGCCCCGGAUAUUGCUCUGGGUAUGAGCAGGGCUGGCUGCUUAAACUAAUCCCCAGCUACUUGGCAUAGUUCAAUUACACGCUUGCAGUAAUGUGAAAAUAAUAGUUUGCAGAAGCCUUUCUUGGGGCUCCGAUAAUAAUAAUGGAUCACAAACUGAAAGAUCCCGCCAUGAAGAUAGGUAAACAGAGAAGUUUUAUUGAACAACUCAACCGUCAGUCAAGUAAAAAAUAUCUGACAAAUCUAUACAAGGGCGUUGCAGUUCAUGACAAUCCGAGAACGCAAAAGGAAGAAGCGUCAAUCAAGCAGAAUGCUAACUCACAUAAGGACAGAGCCAAGUGGGCUUUGUAUCAGGAGCUCACCUGUCCUGCAUGUGCAAGGCUUUACAUAAACCCUAUUCUUCUGCCCUGCAAUCACAGCAUCUGUGAUGCCUGUUUGAAGAAGAUCAGAGUGGAAACAAAAAACAAGACGAGCAUCACCUUAAAGUGCCCGGCGUGCCAGUUACAGUUUGAAUCUGCCGCUAAUGAAAAAAUACCUUUCCCAGAGAACCACUUACUCAAAAACAUCAUGACGAGAAACAGGCAGGGAGCCGAACUGGCUACCAAUAGCAGCAAGAAGAGAAAAACAGAACUUGUGGAAGACACUGUGUUUUGCCAGCUGUGCGAGCAAAAAGCUGCCCGCAGGGAGGUGAAAAAGUGUGUCACCUGCAAGCUUAUUUUCUGCGCCAAGUGCCUCAAGAAGUUACACAGCAACAAAGCGUUUCUGCAGCACAGCAUUGUAAACCUGGACUGGGACACUGGCCCGCAGCAGAUCAAGUGUUUUUUUCAUCCCCAUUUCGAUCUGAUUCACUACUGUACCCAACUGAAGAUAGUGAUCUGUGAGGAGUGCCUGAAAACCACCCAUAAAGGACAGCCAGUCAUUACGCUUGAUGUUGCAUUUCAGGAUGAGUCCAAAGAACUGCUGAGACUCAUAUCAAGCUUUAAAAAAGUCAAAGAAGAAUACGAGAACGCCACCUUGUCACUGAGCCGAUUCAGAGCCAGUUUGGACAAAAUGGAAUCUGGAAUCAACCAGAAAGUGUUCCACCAGUUUCUCUCUUUACACGAGGCCCUUCAGAUUCAAGAAAACAAGAUACGAGGCGGUGUCAACAAUGAAAAAGUAAAAGGCCAGCUUGAGAUAGACAGCUUCUUAAAGUCGGCAUCGAAGGCCAUGUUUGCGAUGGAGGGAACCGCGGAGUAUAUUUCGGAGGCCUUAAAGGAAUCCAACACAGUGGCCUUUUUGCAAACAUCUCGACUGAUAGGAGAACAUUUCAAACAGGCUAUAGACACCGUUAACCGGCCAUCAAAGGAAAUAUACAAGAGCUCUUUGGUCGAUUUUUCCAUUGAUGUAAAUCCUAUUAAGGAGGAGAUUCUGAAGCUUCAAGGAUAUACCCAUAAUGUUUCACAGGAUGACAGUAUUGCUCCUAAUGAUAAUUGGAUACCAGAUUGCAACAGCUCAUCCAGUAUCCAGGUAGAACUUCCACACACACCAUCUGUUACAUCUGUUAACUCUACUAAAUAUGCUAAACCUGUACCAUCUCCUACAUAUUAUUGCCCUGGAUCACAGCAGACUGUUCUUUCUCCUGUAAAGCCUGCAGUUUUUAGCAAAAGUGGAAGUUGGCAUUCAUUGCUGGGUCGUAACGAUGAUGCAAAUUACAAGGGGAGUUUGAACACGAGCAAAGCCAACUACCCGAAGAGUCAAAGCUUUGAGUUCACAAACAGGAAGAAGAUUGCCCCAAUACAGAAUCGUCCAAAAAGCAUCCCGGCAGAUUACAGGACAUUCAUGCCGGUCAUUAAGAAAAAGGAGUUUGGCAUCAAUUCCAAAAAACACAGGAGUACGAGUGAGGAGUGGGACUCAAACUGCCUUUCAGGAUCUAUUGCAGACCUCAGCGACUCUGUCUUCUCAGGCAGAGAGGAACCAGGAAAACCAUUUAUUUACAAACAUGCCGUGGAUGACAACUCUGCACAGGUGCAGACCAAUUGUUCCUUUUCUGGCAUAGUUGCAGAAAUAUGGGCAAAGCUUUUCAGAAUUUGAAUACUGAGUUUAACAUUUAAAUAAGCCUUAACCUUAAUUAAGUUUAGGUUUAGGUUUAGGCUUAGACUUAAUCUUAGGUGUAGGGUUAGGCUUAGGGCAACAGAGCAAAGAGCAACAAUAUAGUAUACUUUUCCAUUGGCCCGUCUUUCUGUGCCAGGUAAAGAGCAUGGCCCAUAUUUCUGCACCUAUGCCUGUUUUCCUCUUUAACUUCUUGUGUCCCUGUAUGCAUUUUCUCUUGGUAUGGUGGUCCAGUGGUUAAAGAAACAGGCUUGAUACCAGGAGGUCCCCGGUUUUAAUCCAUGCUCAGCCAAUGACUAAAUGUGUGGGACCCUGAGCAAGUCACUGAACCUCCUUGUGCUCCGUCCUUCGGAAGAGACGUAAAACCGAGGUCCUAGUAACUGACCCUGCAGCAGAUGCUGACGCAUAGUUCACCCUCUAGUCUCUAUUUGGUGGGGCUAUCGCAAUGGUGAAGAGGAAACCUUGCUUGAUUUUUCUGAGGUACAGAUUCAGCAGAUUGUUUCAGCCGGUCACAAC